CAAGAAAGUAUGCAAGAACUGCUAACUCAUGCAACCGUGCCUAAACGUACGGCUUUCUU
rnacentral:tRNA from 1 species